rnacentral:rRNA from 1 species
GAUGAACGCUGGCGGCGUGCCUAAUACAUGCAAGUCGAGCGAACGGACGAGAAGCUUGCUUCUCUGAUGUUAGCGGCGGACGGGUGAGUAACACGUGGAUAACCUACCUAUAAGACUAGGAUAACUUCGGGAAACCGGAGCUAAUACCGGAUGAUAUUUUGAACCGCAUGGUUCAAAAGAGAAAGACGGUCUUGCUGUCACUUAUAGAUGGAUCCGCGCUGCAUUAGCGAGUUGGUAAGGUAACGGCUUACCAAGGCAACGAUGCAUAGCCGACCUGAGAGGGUGAUCGGCCACACUGGAACUGAGACACGGUCCAGACUCCUACGGGAGGCAGCAGUAGGGAAUCUUCCGCAAUGGGCGAAAGCCUGACGGAGCAACGCCGCGUGAGUGAUGAAGGUCUUCGGAUCGUAAAACUCUGUUAUUAGGGAAGAACAUAUGUGUAAGUAACUGUGCACAUCUUGACGGUACCUAAUCAGAAAGCCCCGGCUAACUACGUG